AUUUUAAGAGGCUGGAAAAAACUCUGCAGCACUCAGCAGCAGAUUUAGAAGUAGCAGAAGAAUGGCAGUCAAAAACUGCCGAACUUAUUGAAGGAAUACGCACCUGAAGAUCCAUUCAAUGCUGACGAAUUUGCAUUACUUUAUCGAUAAAUGCCAAGUUCGGGCACACUUUUCGCAUUUGUACUUCCUCUCUGGUUCCAGUUCUGAUUCCUGAAUUUUCUUUUCCUUAUGGAGCGGCAGUUGAUAUUUUAAUGACAAAUCCGG